CAGCCGCUUUCAGGCUGAGCUGAAGUGCAGGGGGCGCCGCUGAAGCAGGUCCGGCUGAACUCGUGUUGAGGUCCUGCUGCAUCUGGUUUUCAGUUAAAUCGCCUCGUUUGUUUUCCUCUGUUCUUUUGUUUGUUCGCAUCUGUGAAUAUUCUCGGUGGAUCUGCCCGUUUUGGUGUCCUGGCUGCCCUUUUCUCCCCCCUCGUCCACUACGACCACCCCUGCAGUCGCUCCGCUGCGUCCAGUGGUGGAGACCCACAGAAGUCCUACAGCAGCAGACUGAGAGUUUCUGAAGAACACUGGAGAGAGGAGCUGGAGAAGAACAGCUGCUGGUGGGAAAAUGGAUUACCAGAAGAACAGAAACAGAAGAUGUAAGAGGAGAGAAAGAAGAACAGAGCCUUUAACUGGUGAAGAGGUGAAGAGAGAUAUCCAGACAUUACUGAGUCUGAGAAACCCCCCAGAGAGCUGUACAGACGGAGAGAAAGAACCUGAUGACUGUGAUGUGAGGAGAGAGAGAGAGAGCAGUGAAAUAAGGAGGAGCUCCACACUGGAUCUACUCACUGAUUUUAGAGGUUUCCACCAAAGUUCACGCAGCUCAGAUGAAGAAAGCUGGAGGAUUCAUGGUUUAAUCCGACUGUGUUUGAGAAAACCUGAUGGUUUCUGUUUAAACUGGACUGAUUUAGUAGAAGGUGUUUGAGUUCAACUCUUUAUUUUAAUCAGAUUUCCUCACAAAUAUCAGCCUUGCUGAGCCACAGAUGCUGCACCUGUUACUCACAGUGAUGAGUUAUUUCUAUGUAAAUUCACUGUAGUUGUUCUGUAUGUACUGUUCGUUCUGUUCACUGAAACAGUCAGUAUUGUUCAUCUGCAGAAUUCACUGAAUAUGUUCCCUAUAUCUGCAAUAUUUUCUUCUUUUUAUAUUUUUGCAUGUACUUGAUCUAAAUUCACCAGACACUUUAUUCAUAAUCUACAGAAAGUGUUAUUUUAUGUGUUUUUCAUUUCUGUGUUUCAUGGAUUAUUAUUACGGCAGUCUAACGUGACGCUGCUGAAGAAGUCUGAAAGUGUUUCUUGGCCAAUAAAAAUGUUUGCUCAAACAUAGUUUUAUACUCAAAUAAACAAACUCACUGAAAUAAUGA